rnacentral:misc_RNA from 1 species
CCUUUGAAAAUAUCUUUUCGUUGUGCCCAAAAAUUCUCCCAAGGCACCAGACGAUUGUUCCAGAAAAUAGACACAGCCAGGAGGUGAAAGCUUCAAGGUUGCGCAUAGAGGAGAAGAGAUCAAAGUGCGAAAAUGUCGUCGUUUUUGCAAUCAUUUAUUGAUCCAAGGAAGAACUGGUUCGCUAAACAGCACAUGAAAGCUCUUUCCAAACGCCUUCGCAAAUAUGGCCUUAGAUACGACGAUCUUUACGAUCCCUACUACGAACUGGACAUCAAGGAGGCGCUUAAUCGGCUCCCUAGAGAGAUUGUGGAUGCUCGUAACCAGCGCCUCAAGCGCGCCAUGGACCUCUCCAUGAAGCACGAGUACCUUCCCGAGGACCUGCAGGCCAUGCAAACCCCUUUCAGGAGCUACCUUCAAGAUAUGCUGGCACUUGUGAAGAAGGAAAGAGCUGAACGUGAGGCUUUGGGAGC